rnacentral:rRNA from 1 species
GACAGAGGGUGCAAGCGUUGUUCGGAAUCAUUGGGCGUAAAGGGCGCGUAGGCGGCUUUUCAAGUUGAAUGUGAAAUCCCAGGGCUCAACCCUGGAAGUGCAUUCAAGACUGAUAAGCUAGAGUCCUGGAGAGGGUGGUGGAAUUCCCAGUGUAGAAGUGAAAUUCGUAGAUAUUGGGAGGAACACCAGUGGCGAAGGCGACCACCUGGACGGAGACUGACGCUGAGGCGCGAAAGCGUGGGGAGCAAACAGG